AGGAAAAGGAACCUCUCAAAAAAAUUCCAAACAGCACUUUGAACAAGUAAGAUGUAUUAUAAAGAAUUUAACAUAAAGACAGGACAUUUGUGCAAUAGAAUUAGGCAUGUUUUUGUAAAUGAGAGUAGAGUUAUUAAAAAACAUUUUAAUUCUUUAAGGUAGCAAAGAUGUCUCGUAAAAGACCUUUGCCAGGCCAGAAUGCCGAGUACAACAUGGGUACAACGCCACAUUUAUUCAAAUUUCCUGAUAUUAUAGCCACCAGCGUGUGUGGCUGAGUGAGCGGCAACAUUUUGGUCACCCCCGACAAAAUCUCACUCCAAGGUUUUUUGAAAAGUUGGCAGCUCUGUAUAUAUAUACUGUACCUCUGAGAGUUAGUACAGUAGAUGUAAUACAUUAUAAGUAGUACUUUAACGUGUACAAGUACCUCGUACUUCAUCGGAAUCAGAAAGCAGUAAAGAACAUGACGUCAUGAACUGAUAUCUAAUCUGUUUUGCUGUUGGGCUGUUCUUGUUUUUUUGUCCACCCUGUGUAACACACGUCGGACGACAGGUGGCGAUGAGGCGCCGAAACCAAACACCACAGAAGAAGAAGCAGAAUUAGCAGAAGAAGAAGGAGGAGGAGGAGGAAAUGGCGCGCUGCUGGAUGUAAACAAAGAUGUCGGCCCGUCAGAAUGAGCCGUUUGAAUUCUGCGGAGUCCAACACGAAGAAGAAGAACAAGAAACAGCGUUCACUUCCGGAAUAUAAAGACUGAAGGAACCAGAUCACCUCCAACCGGCUGCUGGUCCACUAGACCCGGUCCGACCCCGUGAACCUGGUCCCGUGAUGGCGGGUGGAGGGGGGGGGCGUGGGCGCAGGAUGAUGAGCUUCAGCGUCGAGGCCGUCGGCAUCAACAGAGGAGAAAGUUUACCCCCAAGUACCCACCAGCCCUCAGACCUGUUCCCUGUGAUGGAGCAGAAGCCCCUCCCCCUGAUGGGUGGAGAGGAGGCGGAGUAUCUGUUGGCUCUCAAACAGGAGUUCAGAGGAGCCAUGAAGACUCUGCCCUUCUUCAUCCAGCCAGCUGCUGCAAAGAGAGAUGUGGAGAGAUACUCUGAUAAAUAUCACAACAGUGAGCAGACGGACGGACUGACGGACUGGAGUCCAGACUGGAAAAUAUUCCCCAAAGAACUCAGAGUGAAAAAACCUCCUAGAGAUGGUGUCUCAGCUGCCUGCCGCUCUGACAAACUGCAGUCGGGGCAGAAGAAGAAGGAGAAAGAGGAGGUGCUCCUCAAGCUGGAGACUCUGCAGAAGAAGGAGGAGCAGCAGAGCUCAGAGGAGGAGGCAGAGGGAGAGGAGGAGAAGAAGAAGAAGCAGGAAGAAGAGGAGGCUGACGGAGAGGAGGAGUACGACGAGGAAGAGUUUGAGGAGGAGACGGAUUACAUCAUGUCCUACUUUGACAACGGAGAGGAGUUCGGAGGAGACAGCGACGAGAACCCGGACGAGGCUAUAUACUGAAACACAAACACACACAUACUGAACACACACACACUGUCAUCAGCAGCGUUGCGUCUCUACAGCAUUCUAUUGAUCCGUGAUUGGUUACCUCCGGGUCACCAUCAAUGAACCCAGUCGGCUCUGAACAGGCAGGAGGUCAAAGGUCACUGGGAUGAGAUGACCUUUGACCUCUGAGGAACCAUCCGGUCUGUCCACCGCUGUGUCAUCUGUUCAACUUCUUAUCAAACCUGCAGGAAGAAAGACAGAUCUUCAGUCAGCAGAACCACAAUAGAGCCAUUAGAACUACAAUAGAGCAACAACUGAACUACAAUAGGGUAACAACAGAACUACAAUAGAGCAACAACAGAACUACAACUGAACUACACGAGUAACAACAGAACUACAAUAGAGCAACAACAGAACUACACUAGAGUAACAAAAGAACUACACUAGAGUAACAACAGAACUACAAUGGAGUAACAACAGAACUACACUAGAGUAACAACAGAACUGCAAUGGAGUAACAACAGAACUACAAUGGAGUAACAACAGAACUACAAUGGAGUAACAACAGAAAUGCAAUGGAGUAACAACAGAACUACAAUGGAGUAACAACAGAACUACAACAGAGUAACACCAGAACUACAAUAGAGUAACAACAGAACUGCAAUGGAGUAACACCAGAACUACACUA